rnacentral:rRNA from 1 species
AACGAACGCUGGCGGCAUGCCUAACACAUGCAAGUCGAACGAGACCUUCGGGUCUAGUGGCGCACGGGUGCGUAACGCGUGGGAACCUGCCCUUAGGUUCGGAAUAACUCCCCGAAAGGGGUGCUAAUACCGGAUAAUGUCUUCGGACCAAAGAUUUAUCGCCUUUGGAUGGGCCCGCGUUGGAUUAGCUAGUUGGUAGGGUAAAAGCCUACCAAGGCGACGAUCCAUAGCUGGUCUGAGAGGAUGAUCAGCCACGCUGGGACUGAGACACGGCCCAGACUCCUACGGGAGGCAGCAGUGGGGAAUAUUGGACAAUGGGCGAAAGCCUGAUCCAGCAAUGCCGCGUGAGUGAGGAAGGCCUUAGGGUUGUAAAGCUCUUUGACCCGAGAUGAUAAUGACAGUACCGGGAGAAUAAGCUCCGGCUAACUCCGUG